GUUUUGUUUUAGAUGGUGUCAUAAUGUUAAACAUAUUUGUAACUUAUAUUGCAUGUAUAAACAUCGAAAAUCAGCUAAAAUGACAAAUUCGUUUUACAUUAUUAUAAUUGAUAAGUAUUAAAACAGUAUUAGUGGUUUUUUCCCUUUUGUUGAUGUGAAGAU